GAAGAGCCGCUGAAUGGGGAGGAGAGAGUGACAGAGAGCCUGCUUCUUUAAAGGAGCAAAGCGGGAGAGGAGAGGAGCUGCUUACACGAGUGUAAGAGGCUCCUGUCCAUUUGGCUCCUUUAAAGCAAGCAGGCUCUCUGUAUCUCUCUCCUCCCCACUCAGCGGCUCUUCUC
rnacentral:miRNA from 1 species